GACGAACGCUGGCGGCGUGCUUAACACAUGCAAGUCGAGCGAAUGAGGUUUGCUUGGGAGUGGAUUUAGCGGCGGACGGGUGAGUAACACGUGGGCAACCUGCCCCAUAGAGGGGAAUAGCCCUCCGAAAGGGAGAUUAAUACCGCAUAAGAUUGUAGUAUCGCAUGAUACAGCAAUUGAAGGGGCAAUCCGCUAUGAGAUGGGCCCGCGGCGCAUUAGCUGUUGGGUGAGGUAACGGCUAGCCAAGGCGACGAUGCGUAGCCGACCGGAGAGGGGGAUCGGCCAGAUUGGGACUGAGACACGGCCCAGACUCGUAGGGGAGGCAGCGGUGGGGAAUAUUGCGCAAUGGGGGAAACCCUGAUGCAGCAACGCCGCGUGAGUGAUGACGGCCUUCGGGUUGUAAAGCUCUGUCUUCAGGGACGAUAAUGACGGUACCUGAGGAAGAAGCCACGGCUAACUACGUG
rnacentral:rRNA from 1 species